GAUCGGCUCGAACUCAGAGGGUUGUUGUUGGGGGCAGCGAUUGCAGCAAGGGCGGAGGUGCGGCAGAGGAACGAGGAAAACAAUCUUAUCAUUACGAAGAAGGGAUACUAGUUGGGAAUUUUCGAAAGUUAAGAAGAGUGCUCAGAGUUAAAAUUCCCCCAAUUUAUUUAUAUAAUUUUGCUUUUUUUUUUAAAAAAAAAUAUCAAAUAGAAGCGGCUCCGAAUUCGAGUUCAUCCCCAACACUAGCUGUAUCCGCCUCUACUGUUUAACACUCGCACACGCCCAAUUACGACGCCGUCUCUCUCGCUCCCGCUCCCUCCUUCCUUCCGUCUUUUCCCCUAGCUAGGGUUUCUGUUUGCCCUUCUCCCUCUCCCUCUCCCUCUCCCUCUUCUUGCGAUGGCGCGAUACCGGAGUCGGAGCAGAAGCUUCAGCCCGCGGCGCGACAGCCGGAGCCCCCCUCGUCGCAAGUACUACGACGACCUCCGCGACCGCCGCGGCGGAGGAGGUCGGGACUACAGGGACCGGCGCUCCUCCGCCCCCUCGGGCCUCCUCAUCCGCAACAUCGCCCUUGACGCCAGGCCAGAAGAUCUUCGCAAUCCAUUUGAGCGUUUUGGUCCUGUGAAGGAUGUCUACCUGCCAAAGAAUUACUAUACUGGGGAGCCCCGGGGUUUUGGAUUUGUCAAGUUUCGCUAUGCAGAAGAUGCUGCAGUGGCUAAGCAACAUAUGAACCAUCAGAUUUUAGGUGGACGUGAGAUCUCAAUUGUCUAUGCUGAAGAAAAUAGGAAAACUCCACAAGAAAUGCGUAUGACGACAAGGAUUAGUGAAAGAUACAUGGAAGGAAGAUACAGUAGGUGUUCUUUAUCCAGAUCUCCUAGACGUCAAUAUUGCUCAUAUUCACGUUCCCCCACUCCACCCAGACAUGAAUCAAGAUCAUAAAAGUGAAAUGGGAUUGUAAAGAAUCAAAGAUUAUUUAAAAAGAAAAGAGUGUGACUCUAAAGUUGUUGGCUAGUUGAUUGACUUGUUUGAAAGCUAUUGAAGAAGUUUCAGUUCCAAUUUUCAACAACAGUGGUUACAGAUUGCAGAGUUUGUUACGAAAGAAACUAUAGUUAAAGGUUCAAGAGAGACAACCAUGGCCUCCAGUGAAUAAGCCGAAAGACAAACUAGGAUGAUCUCCAGAGAAUGGAAGCCCAUCGAGAUACCAUAAUUCUUGAUGGUGGUCAUACCUGAGUUGAAAGUUAACAGAGUGAUCAAUAAGCAAGUACACUGUUUAGGAGAAUAACCAACACAUGCUUGGAUCAAAGUUGCAUAUCUCUGUUCAGGAGUCCCUGUGAUAUGUGGGAUAAUGGCCGGAGCAGUAAGGAUAAUUAUUACUCUCCACCGAGAUCCAUCUCCCCAUCUCCACAGAAUGAUAGGGGUUAUAGGUCGCAUGAUAGGAGGGAUGAUGAUAGGGAAUACAGGUCUCAUGAUGAUGAAAG